UGCGUAGGGGCAAGCGUUGUCCGGAAUCAUUGGGCGUAAAGAGCGUGUAGGCGGCCCGGUAAGUCCGCUGUGAAAGUCCAGGGCUCAACCCUGGGAUGCCGGUGGAUACUGUCGGGCUCGAGUCCGGAAGAGGAGUGUGGAAUUCCUGGUGUAGCGGUGAAAUGCGCAGAUAUCAGGAGGAACACCAAUGCGAAGGCAGCACUCUGGGACGUGACUGACGCUAGACGCGAAAAGCGUGGGGAGCAAACAGG
rnacentral:rRNA from 1 species